rnacentral:rRNA from 1 species
UAAUACCGGAUAGAUCAAAGAUACUGGAAUGUUCUCUGGUCCAAAACUCCGGUGCCCAAGGAUGGGUCUGCGGCCUAUCAGGUUGUAGUGGGUGUAACGUACCUACUAGCCUACGACGGGUAAGGGUUGUGAGAGCAAGAUCCCUGAGAUGGAUUCUGAGACAUGAAUCCAGGCCCUACGGGGUGCAGCAGGCGCGAAACCUUUACACUGCGGGAAACCGCGAUAAGGGGACCCCGAGUGCCAGCACCUAGUGUUGGCUGUCCGGCUGUCCAAAUAACAGUUGUUAGCAAGGGCCGGGCAAGACCGGUGCCAGCCGCCGCGGUAACACCGGCGGCCCGAGUGGUAGCCGCUAUUAUUGGGUUUAAAGGGCCCGUAGCCGGCCUAUUAAGUCUCUUGGGAAAUCUGGCGGCUCAAUCGUCAGGCGUUC